rnacentral:rRNA from 1 species
UGGGGAAUAUUGCACAAUGGGCGCAAGCCUGAUGCAGCCAUGCCGCGUGUGUGAAGAAGGCCUUCGGGUUGUAAAGCACUUUCAGCGAGGAGGAAGGUGGUGAACUUAAUACGUUCAUCAAUUGACGUUACUCGCAGAAGAAGCACCGGCUAACUCCGUGCCAGCAGCCGCGGUAAUACGGAGGGUGCAAGCGUUAAUCGGAAUACUGGGCGUAAAGCGCACGCAGGCGGUUUGUUAAGUCAGAUGUGAAAUCCCCGGGCUCAACCUGGGAACUGCAUUUGAAACUGGCAAGCUAGAGUCUCGUAGAGGGGGGUAGAAUUCCAGGUGUAGCGGUGAAAUGCGUAGAGAUCUGGAGGAAUACCGGUGGCGAAGGCGGCCCCCUGGACGAAGACUGACGCUCAGGUGCG